CCAGACUCCUACGGGAGGCAGCAGUGGGGGAUAUUGCACAAUGGGGGAAACCCUGAUGCAGCGACGCCGCGUGAGUGAAGAAGUAUUUCGGUAUGUAAAGCUCUAUCAGCAGGGAAGAAAAAAGACGGUACCUGACUAAGAAGCCCCGGCUAACUACGUGCCAGCAGCCGCGGUAAUACGUAGGGGGCAAGCGUUAUCCGGAUUUACUGGGUGUAAAGGGAGCGUAGACGGCAAUACAAGUCGGAAGUGAAAUACCCGGGCUUAACCUGGGAACUGCUUUGGAAACUGUGCAGCUAGAGUGCAGGAGAGGUAAGUGGAAUUCCUAGUGUAGCGGUGAAAUGCGUAGAUAUUAGGAGGAACACCAGUGGCGAAGGCGGCUUACUGGACUGUAACUGACGUUGAGGCUCGAAAGCGUGGGGAGCAAACAGGAUUAGAUACCCCAGUACA
rnacentral:rRNA from 1 species